rnacentral:rRNA from 1 species
AGCAGCCGCGGUAAUUCCAGCUCCAAUAGCGUAUAUUAAAGUUGUUGCAGUUAAAAAGCUCGUAGUUGAAUUUCGGGAUCAAUAUGUUGGUCGUGCCUUUGGUACGUACUAUUUUAUUGGUUUCUUCCUUCUGACGAACCAUGAUGUCAUUAAUUUGGUGUCAUGGGAAAUCAGGACUGUUACUUUGAAAAAAUUAGAGUGUUUAAAGCAGGCUUCACGCUUGAAUACAUUAGCAUGGAAUAAUGAAAUAGGACGUUUGAUUCUAUUUUGUUGGUUUCUAGGAUCGACGUAAUGAUUAAUAGGGAUAGUUGGGGGCAUUAGUAUUCAAUUGUCAGAGGUGAAAUUCUUGGAUUUAUUGAAGACUAACUACUGCGAAAGCAUUUGCCAAGGAUGUUUUCAUUAAUCAAGAACGAAAGUUAGGGGAUCGAAGACGAUCAGAUACCGUCGUAGUCUUAACCAUAAAUUAUGCCGACUAGGGAUCGGAUGAUGUUAAUUUUUAAUGACUCAUUCGGCGCC